CGAGUCAUUGUAGCAUACAAGGCAUACGGCUCAGUAACGCGUAGUCCACCUAACCUAUGGACGGGAAUAACCUCGGGAAACUGAGAAUAAUGCCCGAUAGAACAUUAUGCCUGGAAUGGUUUAUGUUCCAAAUGAUUUAUCGCCGUAGGAUGGGACUGCGGCCUAUCAGUUUGUUGGUGAGGUAAUGGCCCACCAAGACUAUUACAGGUACGGGCUCUGAGAGGAGUAGCCCGGAGAUGGGUACUGAGACACGGACCCAGGCCCUAUGGGGCGCAGCAGGCGAGAAAACUUUGCAAUGUGCGAAAGCACGACAAGGUUAAUCCGAGUGGUUUCUGCUAAAGAAACCUUUUGUCAGUCCUAGAAACACUGAUGAAUAAGGGGUGGGCAAGUUCUGGUGUCAGCCGCCGCGGUAAAACCAGCACCUCAAGUGGUCAGGAUGAUUAUUGGGCCUAAAGCAUCCGUAGCCGGCUCUGUAAGUUUUCGGUUAAAUCUGUACGCUCAACGUACAGGCUGCCGGGAAUACUGCAGAGCUAGGGAGUGGGAGAGGUAGACGGUACUCGGUAGGAAGGGGUAAAAUCCUUUGAUCUAUUGAUGACCACCUGUGGCGAAGGCGGUCUACCAGAACACGUCCG
rnacentral:rRNA from 1 species